GGAUGGAUGUCUGAGCGGUUAAAAGAGUCGGUCUUGAAAACCGAAGUAUUUUUCAAAAGCUUGGAAAUCCCUUCCG
rnacentral:tRNA from 1 species